UACGGAGGGUGCAAACGCUGCUCGGAAUCAUUGGGCGUAAAGCGCACGUAGGCGGGUUGUUAAGUCGGAUGUGAAAUCCCUCAGCUUAACUGAGGAAGUGCACUCGAAACUGGCAGCCUUGAGUAUGGAAGAGGGUCGCGGAAUUCCCGGUGUAGAGGUGAAAUUCGUAGAUAUCGGGAGGAACACCAGUGGCGAAGGCGGCGACCUGGGCCAAUACUGACGCUGAGGUGCGAAAGCGUGGGGAGCAAACAGG
rnacentral:rRNA from 1 species